rnacentral:misc_RNA from 1 species
UUAUUUUGUUAUAAUAAGACUACAUUUGUUACAUAUAAAUAGUUUGUAAAAAGGUCAGACCAACCCAGGGGCCGAAGCCUUAGAGUCGAUCUUACAGUGCACAGGUGUUAUGGAUGUGAAGGGUGCGAGGGGCUUGCCGAAGCAGAGACACCCAAGCGUGUGUAUUCACUAAUGAUCCUUCCGCAGGUUCACCUACGGAAA